CCUACGUGUGGCAGCAGUAGGGAAUUUUCGUCAAUGGGCGCAAGCCUGAACGAGCAAUGCCGCGUGAACGAGGAAGGUCUUCGGAUCGUAAAGCUCUGUUGAAGGGGAAAAAGAGCGGAGAGAGGAAAUGCUUUCUGAUUGAUAUUACCCUUCGAGGAAGUCACGGCUAACUACGUGCCAGCAGCCGCGGGAAUACGUAGGUGGCGAGCGUUAUCCGGAAUGAUUGGGCGAAAUGGGUGCGUAGGCGGCCUGCUAAGUCUGGAGUGAAAGGUCCGGCUCAACCGGUACAGGCCAUGGAAACUGGCGGGCUAGAGUGCAGGAGAGGUCGGUGGAACUCGAGGUGUAGCGGUAAAAUGCGUAGAUAUAUGGAAGAACACCAGUGGCGAAGGCGGCAGGCUGGCCUGUUACUGACGCUGAGGCACGAAAGCGUGGGGAGCAAAUAGGAUUAGAUACCCCUGUAGUC
rnacentral:rRNA from 1 species